AAUUAACGCUGGCGGCAUGCGUAACACAUGCAAGUCGUACGAGAAAGCCCGGUUCGCCGGGCGAGUAAAGUGGCGCACGGGUGAGUAACGCGUGGGUAAUCUACCCCGGUCUGGGGGAUAACGCACCGAAAGGUACGCUAAUACCGCAUGACCCGACGGGUCCCUGGACCCAUCGGCAAAGGUGGCCUCUGCAUGCAAGCUACCGAACCGGGAUGAGCCCGCGUCCUAUUAGCUUGUUGGUGGGGUAAUGGCCCACCAAGGCGACGAUGGGUAGCUGGUCUGAGAGGACGGCCAGCCACACUGGAACUGGUACACGGUCCAGACUCCUACGGGAGGCAGCAGUGAGGAAUAUUGCGCAAUGGGGGAAACCCUGACGCACCGAUGCCGCGUGGGUGAAGAAGGCCUUCUGGUCGUAAAGCCCUGUCAGGCGGGAAGAAUAGCCCCGGGGCUAAUAUCUCCGGGGUGUGACGGUACCGCUGAAAGAAGCACCGGCUUACUUCGUGGCAGCAGCCGCGGUAAGACGGAAGGUGCGAGCGUUAUUCCGAAUUAUUGGGGGAAAAAGCGUGCAAGCGGCCGGCCAAAUCUGAUGUGAAAGACCGGGGGCUUAACUCCGAAAGGCGUUGGAAACUGGGUGGCCUGAGUUCCGGAAAAGGAAGCGGAAUUUCCUGUGGUUGAAGGGGAAUUCUUGAUAUUCUGAAGGACACCGCGUGGCGAAAGAGGGUUUUUUGGACGCAACUGACGCUGAGACACCAAAACGUGGGGGGGCAACAAGAAUAUAAACCCCGGUAGUCCCCCCUGUAACCAAGGGACUAAGGGUUGGGGGUGGUUUUAUCCUCCCCGCCGGGCUACACAUUAAUGGC
rnacentral:rRNA from 1 species